GUCGGCGACCGGCGCACGGGUGAGUAACGCGUAUGCAACCUGCCCUUCACAGGGGGAUAACCGGGAGAAAUUCCGACUAAUACCGCAUACGUCCUCCGGGGGCAUCCCCGGGGGAUGAAAGAAUUAUCGGUGAAGGAUGGGCAUGCGUGAUAUUAGGUAGUUGGCGGGGCAACGGCCCACCAAGCCCACGAUAUCUAGGGGUUCUGAGAGGAAGGUCCCCCACAUUGGAACUGAGACACGGUCCAAACUCC
rnacentral:rRNA from 1 species